rnacentral:rRNA from 1 species
CACUCCUACGGGAGGCAGCAGUAGGGAAUAUUGGUCAAUGGACGAGAGUCUGAACCAGCCAUGCCGCGUGCAGGAAGACGGCCCUCUGGGUUGUAAACUGCUUUUAUAUGGGAAGAAAAGACUCCUGCGGGAGGCAUUGACGGUACCAUAGGAAUAAGCCACGGCUAACUACGUGCCAGCAGCCGCGGUAAUACGUAGGUGGCGAGCGUUAUCCGGAUUUAUUGGGUUUAAAGGGUGCGUAGGCGGCUUUUUAAGUCAGUGGUUAAAGGUAGCAGCUUAACUGUUUUACAUGCCAUCGAUACUGAAGAGCUUGAGUUAUCAGAAGGCAGGCGGAAUUUCUGGUGUAGCGGUGAAAUGCAUAGAUACCAGAAGGAACACCUAUUGCGAAGGCAGCUUGCUGCAGAUAAACUGACGCUGAUGCACGAAAGCGUGGGGAGCGAACAGGAUUAGAUACCCUGGUAG